GCCUCUGUAGCUCAGUAGGAUAGAGCGACCCUCUCCUAAAGGGUAGGCCGUCGGUUCGAUUCCGGCCAGGGGCACCA
rnacentral:tRNA from 7 species